CAAUUGUGGAAAUCUUGCGGCGUGGAUUGGGUCCCUGUGCGCGCGGCGCCGCAGGUGCGGAGCGCAGAGGGGAAUCGCGCGGGUGGCCGGUGACGUCGCCGGGGAGAUCCAAUCGUGGAAAUUUCACGGUGGUGGGAGGAGAUCGAGCCGAAGAGGAGACAGACGAGGAGGACGAGAACCGCCGCUCGAUGGCGGCAGCGCACCACCGCCCCCAAUCUGGUUUGUGUUAUCAAGUUGCCCAACUUGUGCUUGUUAAAAUGUAUCUGAGAUAUAUUCUAGGACCAACCAAAAUUAAACUAUGUCAGAGUAUGCAGGAUCAUAUGGUGAUACCUGCAGAUUAUGUGGAAGAUCAUAUUUUGUAGAAGUGACAUGAAAAAUAUAUACAAGGCUAGCAGGUGCGGCUCAAUUUGUCAUGGAAACGUGUGUAGUCACUGAUAUACAGAUGGAGAGUCUACCCUAGGGAGAAAGGAGAGAGGGAGGGCCCGCUGCUCCCUGCCAUAGUGCUUUGUGAAUUUUCACAAGAGCUUGGCAAUUUUCCAAUGAUAUUGCAAAAUACCAGUGCAACGUUUGUGUAGGAAUGAUCACUGUUUUGUUCUUUAGAUUUUGUAACUGAAAUUUGUACUCCUUUAGAGAUCUAUAUGUGAAUAUACACCAGCAAUAAAUUGUCAAUUUCACAAUUUGCU